AGGGUAUGGGUCUGCUUGGUGUGGACACCUGACUGUCACUCAGGAAAAACAGGUCGGUUCGAAUCCGAUAUACCCUG
rnacentral:tRNA from 1 species